CCUACGGGGGGCAGCAGUGAGGAAUAUUGGUCAAUGGUCGGGAGACUGAACCAGCCAAGCCGCGUGAGGGAGGAAGGUACAGAGUAUCGUAAACCUCUUUUGUCAGGGAACAAAGACUGGGACGCGUCCCCGGAUGAGUGUACCUGAAGAAAAAGCAUCGGCUAACUCCGUGCCAGCAGCCGCGGUAAUACGGAGGAUGCGAGCGUUAUCCGGAUUUAUUGGGUUUAAAGGGUGCGCAGGCGGGUUGUUAAGUCAGCGGUGAAAGCUCGGGGCUCAACCCCGGGACUGCAGUUGAAACUGGCAGUCUCGAGUUGGAGAGAGGUAUGCGGAAUGCGCGGUGUAGCGGUGAAAUGCAUAGAUAUCGCGCAGAACUCCGAUUGCGAAGGCAGCAUGCCGGCUCCACACUGACGCUGAGGCACGAAAGCGUGGGUAUCGAACAGGAUUAGAUACCCCAGUAGUC
rnacentral:rRNA from 1 species